rnacentral:sRNA from 1 species
UAGCGAAUAGUCUGUUUUCGAUGUGGC